rnacentral:tRNA from 1 species
GCAUGGAUAGCUCAGAUGGUAGAGCGCCGGCGUGAAGCCCCGGAGGCCAGUGGUUCGAUCCCACUUCCAUGCA